rnacentral:rRNA from 1 species
UAUGAAGGGGACUAGCGUUGUUCGGAAUCACUGGGCGUAAAGCGCACGUAGGCGGAUUUGUAAGUCAGGGGUGAAAUCCCGGGGCUCAACCUCGGAACUGCCUUUGAUACUGCGAAUCUUGAGUCCGAUAGAGGUGGGUGGAAUUCCUAGUGUAGAGGUGAAAUUCGUAGAUAUUAGGAAGAACACCGGUGGCGAAGGCGGCCCACUGGAUCGGUACUGACGCUGAGGUGCGAAAGCGUGGGGAGCAAACAGG